rnacentral:misc_RNA from 1 species
GAAAUGCGAUAAGUAAUGUGAAUUGCAGAAUUCAGUGAAUCAUCGAAUCUUUGAACGCACCUUGCGCUCCUUGGUAUUCCUUGGAGCAUGCCUGUUUGAGUUUCAUGAAAUCUUCAAAGUAAAUCUUUUGUUAACUCAAUUGGUUUCUACUUUGGUAUUGGAGGUCUUUGCAGCUUCACACCUGCUCCUCUUUGUUCAUUAGCUGGAUCUCAGUGUUAUGCUUGGUUCCACUCGGCGUGAUAAGUUAUCUAUCGCUGAGGACACUGUAAAAGGUGGCCAAGGUAAAUGCAGAUGAACCGCUUCUAAUAGUCCAUUGACUUGGACAAUACUUUUAUGAUUUGAUCUCAAAUCAGGUAGGACUACCCGCUGAACUUAAGC